CUAGCUGGGAUUACAGGCACCAGCCACCACACCCAGAUUCCUGAUGACAACAAAUAUACACUGGAACCCCCAAGGGCUUUGCAGGUUCACUGAUUUCCAGAUAUUUCUCUUGGGAUUCUGCUAUAGGACCUGAAGUUAUCUGCUUGCUGAGGCAUGAAGAAAUAAAUAAAAUAAUAGGAAAAUAUGAAAAAGUAAAA